rnacentral:rRNA from 1 species
CCCUUAGAUGUUCUGGGCCGCACGCGCGCUACACUGACUGCUCCAACAAGUUACCUGGGCUGACAAGCAUCCGGGAAAUCUUGCAAAGGCAGUCGUGAUGGGGAUAGAUUCUUGUAAUUUUUGAUCUUCAACGAGGAAUUCCUAGUAAACGCAAGUCAUCAGCUUGCAUUGAUUACGUCCCUGCCCUUUGUACACACCGCCCGUCGCAUCUACCGAUUGAAUGGAGAGGCAAAAUCUUCGGACCGUGACGCUUGGGAGUCAAAUCUCGGGCUGUUGUGGGAAGUGGAUUAAACCUUUCUAUUUAGAGGAAGGUAAAGUCGUAACA